UGCCCUUUGUACACACCGCCCGUCGCUACUACCGAUUGAAUGGCUUAGUGAGGUCUUGGGAUUGGCUUCGGGGAGCCGGCAACGGCACCCUGUCGCUGAAAACUUGAUCAAACUUGGUCAUUUAGAGGAAGUAAAAGUCGUAACAAGGUUUCCGUAGGUGAACCUGCGGAAGGAUCAUUAACGAGUUUUGAAACGAGUUGUAGCUGGCCUUCCGAGGCAUGUGCACGCUCUGCUCAUCCACUCUACCCCUGUGCACUUACUGUAGGUUGGCGUGGGCUCCUUAACGGGAGCAUUCUGCCGGCCUAUGUAUACUACAAACACUUUAAAGUAUCAGAAUGUAAACGCGUCUAACGCAUCUAUAAUACAACUUUUAGCAACGGAUCUCUUGGCUCUCGCAUCGAUGAAGAACGCAGCGAAAUGCGAUAAGUAAUGUGAAUUGCAGAAUUCAGUGAAUCAUCGAAUCUUUGAACGCACCUUGCGCUCCUUGGUAUUCCGAGGAGCAUGCCUGUUUGAGUGUCAUGGAAUUCUCAACUUAUAAAUCCUUGUGAUCUAUAAGCUUGGACUUGGAGGCUUGCUGGCCCUUGCGGUCGGCUCCUCUUGAAUGCAUUAGCUCGAUUCCGUACGGAUCGGCUCUCAGUGUGAUAAUUGUCUACGCUGUGACCGUGAAGUGUUUUGGCGAGCUUCUAAUCGUCCAUUAGGACAACUUUUUAACAUCUGACCUCAAACAGGAGGACUACCCGCUGAACUUAAGCAUAUCAAUAAGC
rnacentral:rRNA from 1 species